UGAUGAGUGCUUACGUGUAGUCGAAGCUGGUGGGAAACAGUACCGGAGUGGGUGAGAGUCCCGUAGACGAAACGCGUGGCCCCGGUGUGACACGUGUCCCCGAGUAGCACGGAACUCGUGGAAUUCCGUGUGAAUCUGCCAGGACCACCUGGUAAGGCUAAAUACUUCCUGAUGACCGAUAGCGGAUCAGUACCGUGAGGGAAUGGUGAAAAGUACCCCGGGAGGGGAGUGAAAGAGUACCUGAAACCAUGUGCUUACAAUCCGUCAGAGCACCCGUGUUGGUGUGAUGGCGUGCCUUUUGAAGAAUGAGCCUGCGAGUUAGCGGUGCGUGGCGAGGUUAACCUGAUGAAGGGUAGCCGUAGCGAAAGCGAGUCCGANNCAGUCGCGUGUCCUAGACCCGAAGCGGAGUGAUCUAGCCAUGGGCAGGGUGAAGCAGCAGUAAGAUGUUGUGGAGGCCCGCACCCACUUCAGUUGAAAAUGGAGGGGAUGACCUGUGGUUAGGGGUGAAAGGCCAAUCAAACUCUGUGAUAGCUGGUUCUCCCCGAAAUGCAUUUAGGUGCAGCGUUGCGUGGUUCUUGCCGGAGGUAGAGCUACUGGAUGGCUGAUGGGCCCCACCGGGUUACUGACGUCAACUAAACUCCGAAUGCCGGUAAGGUUCAGCGUGGCAGUGAGACAGUGGGGGAUAAGCUUCAUUGUCGAGAGGGAAACAGCCCAGACCAUCAACUAAGGCCCCUAAGCGUGUGCUGAGUGGGAAAGGAUGUUCAGUUGCGAAGACAACCAGGAGGUUGGCUUAGAAGCAGCCACCCUUGAAAGAGUGCGUAAUAGCUCACUGGUCAAGUGAUUGAGCGCCGAUAAUGUAGCGGGGCUAAGUACACCGCCGAAGUUGUGGCAGCAUCACGAUACUGUAAUGGUGUGGUGUUGGGUAGGGGAGCGUCGUGUCGCCAGUGAAGUCGCCGUGUGAACGAGUGGUGGAGGCGUCACGAGUGAGAAUGCAGGCAUGAGUAGCGAAAGACGGGUGAGAAACCCGUCCACCGGAUGACCAAGGGUUCCAGGGCUAGGCUAAUCCGCCCUGGGUAAGUCGGGACCUAAGGCGAGGCCGACAGGCGUAGUCGAUGGACAACCAGUUGAUAUUCUGGUACCGACACACAACCGACAAUACCAAAACACAUGAGACUAACUCCCCGGUCCACCCGUGGCGUCUUCGGAUGUCUGGUUGGUGGGGUGGUGAGGACCUGAGUGUGGAGUCGGUAAGCGUGAGGUGUGACGCAGAAAGGUAGCCAGGCCACGCGAUGGUAGUCGUGGUCUAAGGUCGUAGCAUGUGGGGGUAGGCAAAUCCGUCCCCACACAAGUGUGAGAGCUGAUGGGCGCCCCACAGUGGUGGGGUGAUCUGGUGAUCCUCUGCUGCCGAGAAAAGCAUCGACGUGAGGGUGUGUGUUGCCCGUACCCUAUAACCGACACAGGUGGUCAGGUAGAGAAUACUAAGGUGAUCGAGAGAAUCGUGGUUAAGGAACUCGGCAAAAUGCCCCCGUAACUUCGGGAGAAGGGGGGCCAUCCUGGUGAACAGCCCUUGCGGUUGGGAGCUGGUGGUGGUC
rnacentral:rRNA from 1 species